rnacentral:rRNA from 1 species
CUAAUCUGCGAAAAGCUUGGAUGAGUCGAUAAGAGGCGCUUAAUCCAAGAUAUCCGAAUGGGGAAACCCAGUAGAUGAAGAAUCUACUAUCAACAAGUGAAUUCAUAGCUUGUUGAGGCAAACCGGGAGAACUGAAACAUCUAAGUACCCCGAGGAAAAGAAAUCAACCGAGAUUUCGUCAGUAGCGGCGAGCGAAAGCGAAAGAGCCAGUAAGUGAUAACAGUAUGGUUAGGAGAAUGUGUUGGGAAGCACAAUCAAAGAGGGUGAUAAUCCCGUAUCUAAAAACCAUAUUGUGGUACUAAGCUAACGAGAAGUAGGGCGGGACACGUGAUAUCCUGUUUGAAGAAGGGGGGACCAUCCUCCAAGGCUAAAUACUCCUGAUUGACCGAUAGUGAACCAGUACUGUGAAGGAAAGGCGAAAAGAACCCCGGUGAGGGGAGUGAAAUAGAACCUGAAACCUUGUACGUACAAGCAGUGGGAGCCCCAUCACUUAAUCCGAUUGGAAGGUGAUGAAAAGCAACCGCACUUAAACAAUGGUAAGAGGAGCGAAGCGAGUCAAACCACCCAAAAGAAGCAGUGGGAUUAAGUGAUGGGGUGACUGCGUACCUUUUGUAUAAUGGGUCAGCGACUUAUAUUUUGUAGCGAGGUUAACUGAAUAGGGGAGCCGAAGGGAAACCGAGUCUUAACUGGGCGAGUAGUUGCAAGGUAUAGACCCGAAACCCGGUGAUCUAGCCAUGGGCAGGUUGAAGGUUGGGUAACACUAACUGGAGGACCGAACCGACUAAUGUUGAAAAAUUAGCGGAUGACUUGUGGCUGGGGGUGAAAGGCCAAUCAAACCGGGAGAUAGCUGGUUCUCCCCGAAAUCUAUUUAGGUAGAGCCUUGAGGUGACACCUUUGGGGGUAGAGCACUGUUUCGGCUAGGGGGCCAUCCCGGCUUACCAACCCGAUGCAAACUACGAAUACCAAAGAGUGAUACUCAGGAGACACACGGCGGGUGCUAACGUCCGUCGUGGAGAGGGAAACAACCCAGACCGCCAGCUAAGGUCCCCAAGUCUAUAUUAAGUGGGAAACGAAGUGGGAAGGCUUAGACAGCUAGGAUGUUGGCUUAGAAGCAGCCAUCAUUUAAAGAAAGCGUAAUAGCUCACUAGUCGAGUCGGCCUGCGCGGAAGAUGUAACGGGGCUGAAAUAUAGCACCGAAGCUGCGGCAU